GGGUCCGUAGCUCAAUGGUAGAGCAGUAGCCUUUUAAGCUAUUGGUUCGGGGUUCGAUCCCCCGCGGACUCACCC
rnacentral:tRNA from 1 species